rnacentral:tRNA from 1 species
GUCAAGGUGUCUGAUUUAAGUGAUAAACUGUAAAUUUAUUUAAAGGUUUAACCUUCUUGACA